ACAAUGGAGCCGGCGGGUGUAGUUCGGAUUUUCACACAUUGUUGGAUCUGCCAGCAGUUUCUGGACCCGGAAACCGGACAAAACCACACCCUCUGUAUCCUUCAACACUGUGCACACACCUGUUGUACCUCUGGCUGCGCUCCAACAAAGAGAAUGAUAAACAAAUGCAUAUGGUCUCCACAGCACUGCCAAAGCAAAACAUGCAAGGCAGCCUAAGAUUUAUACACAGUACUGCACAUGUUUAAAUAUGAUUAACUCAAUCAAUUUAGAGCUGUUUAUUUAUUCAUUCAUUUAUUCUUUAUUUUUAUUAUUGUUAUCCUGUGGCACAGCCCAAAUGCAAAAUAACAAGCAGCGAUUCUUUGUUGUUACUUGAAGUACUGUGAUCAACAAUUUCAUUGGUUAAAAUGUCAAUAAAGGAAAAUGGCUUUAAAAUGCA